rnacentral:rRNA from 1 species
AACGAACGCUGGCGGCGUGUUUAAGACAUGCAAGUCGCACGGGGCAAAUUGAGUAGCAAUACGAGAUUUGUUCAGUGGCGCACGGGUGAGUAACACGUGAAUUACAUGCCCUUCAGUGGGGGAUAGCCCAGGGAAACUUGGAUUAAUACCCCAUGGUCUCGCAAGAGUAAAGGUGGCCGCAAGGCUGUCGCUGAGGGAUUGGUUCGCGCCCUAUCAGCUUGUUGGUGAGGUAACGGCUCACCAAGGCUACGACGGGUACCUGGUCUGAGAGGACGAUCAGGCACACUGGAACUGAGACACGGUCCAGACACCUACGGGUGGCUG